UACGUAGGGUGCAAGCGUUGUCCGGAUUUAUUGGGCGUAAAGAGCUCGUAGGCGGUCUGUCGCGUCGGAUGUGAAAACCCAGGGCUCAACCCUGGGCCUGCAUUCGAUACGGGCAGACUAGAGUACGGCAGGGGAGACUGGAAUUCCUGGUGUAGCGGUGAAAUGCGCAGAUAUCAGGAGGAACACCGGUGGCGAAGGCGGAUCUCUGGGCCGAUACUGACGCUGAGGAGCGAAAGCGUGGGGAGCGAACAGG
rnacentral:rRNA from 1 species